rnacentral:rRNA from 1 species
GCGUAGGCGGUUUAGCAAGUUGUAUGUGAAAGCCCUGGGCUCAACCUAGGAACUGCAUCCAAAACUACUAAGCUAGAGUACGAGAGAGGAGAGUAGAAUUUCUGGUGUAGCGGUGAAAUGCGUAGAUAUCAGAAGGAAUACCAAUGGCGAAGGCAGCUCUCUGGCUCGUCACUGACGCUGAGGUGCGAAAGCGUGGGUAGCAAACAGGAUUAGAUACCCUGGUAGUCCACGCCGUAAACGAUGACAACUAGCCGUUGGGCAGAUUUAACUGUUCAGUGGCACAGCUAACGCAUUAAGUUGUCCGCCUGGGGAGUACGGCCGCAAGGCUAAAACUCAAAUGAAUUGACGGGGGCCCGCACAAGUGGUGGAGCAUGUGGUUUAAUUCGAAGAUACGCGCAGAACCUUACCAACACUUGACAUGUUCGUCGCGAGCCUAAGAGAUUAGGCUUUUCAGUUCGGCUGGACGAAACACAGGUGCUGCAUGGCU